rnacentral:rRNA from 1 species
GACGAACGCUGGCGGCGUGCCUAAUACAUGCAAGUAGAACGCAGUUGCGAACGGGUGAGUAACGCGUCGGUAACUGCCUCAUAGCGGGGGAUAACUCUUGGAAACGAUAGCUAAUACCGCAUUCUGUGAGAUGGACCUGCGUUGUUUUAGUUAGUUGGUGAGGUAAAGGCUCACAAAGGCGACGAUACAUAGCCGACCUGAGAGGGUGAUCGUGCAAACUGGGAGUGAGAAACGGCCCAGACUCCUAAGGGAGGCAGCAGUAGGGAAUCUUCGGCAAUGGAGCGAAGGCUGACCGAGCAACGUCGCGGGAGUGAAGAAGGUGUUCGGAUCGUAAAGCUCUGUUGUUAGAGAAGCGGUAACUAACGAGAAAGGGACGGCUAACUACGUGCCAGCAGCCGCGGUAAUUC